UACGAGGGGUCCAAGCGUUGUUCGGAAUUACUGGGCGUAAAGCGGGUGUAGGUGGCUAAGUAAGUCGGAUGUGAAAGCCCAGGGCUCAACCCUGGAAGUGCAUCCGAAACUGCAUAGCUUGAGUACUGGAGAGGAUAGUGGAAUUCCUGGUGUAGCGGUGAAAUGCGUAGAUAUCAGGAGGAACAUCGGUGGCGAAGGCGGCUAUCUGGCCAAGUACUGACACUCAGACCCGAAAGCGUGGGUAGCAAACAGG
rnacentral:rRNA from 1 species